rnacentral:rRNA from 1 species
UACGAGAGGCCCAACCGUUAUUCGGAUUUACUGGGCUUAAAGAGUUCGUAGGCGGUUCGGUAAGUGAGGUGUGAAAUCCCUUGGCUCAACCAAGGAAUUGCGCUUCAAACUGCCGGGCUCGAGGGAGAUAGAGGUGAGCGGAACUGAUGGUGGAGCGGUGAAAUGCGUUGAUAUCAUCAGGAACACCAGAGGCGAAGGCGGCUCACUGGGUCUCUUCUGACGCUGAGGAACGAAAGCUAGGGGAGCAAACGGG